UACGGGGGGGGCAAGCGUUGUUCGGAAUUACUGGGCGUAAAGGGCUCGUAGGCGGCCAACUAAGUCAGACGUGAAAUCCCUCGGCUUAACCGGGGAACUGCGUCUGAUACUGGAUGGCUUGAGUUUGGGAGAGGGAUGCGGAAUUCCAGGUGUAGCGGUGAAAUGCGUAGAUAUCUGGAGGAACACCGGUGGCGAAGGCGGCAUCCUGGACCAAUAUUGACGCUGAGGAGCGAAAGCCAGGGGAGCAAACGGG
rnacentral:rRNA from 1 species